rnacentral:lncRNA from 1 species
CUGCCGGGUAGGGUCCUUGGUGAGCUCAGGACGCCUCCCAAGCUAACUGCAAAUUUCUCCCUUCCCUAAUUCGUCGCCGUUAGUCGGGAAAGCUCCUCGCCGGCAGCGAGUAGGGGGUCUGGGACCCUCUUCCGAUAUACGGAGGCAGGGGCUUGGGGUUGGGAGUCCGAUUUCCCGGAAUCUGCGGGCGUGAGCGCCAGGGGUGGCCGUCAGCCAACCGUGUCCACCUGCUUGUCUCCCACCGGCCCCCAGUCAGCCCCCGGGCCCUGGCGAGGCUC